GAGCGGGAUGGAGAGUGUGUACAUAACGGCCGCAUGUGAGGCAGGGCGGGCGUCCAGUGGCAGGGAAACUCGGGGACUCAGUCAGAGGAAGAUGGUCAUUGAUUGCACGUCUUAGGAAGUUCCUGGCGAAAUUCUGGGACACGGAGGUGAGGUUUUCGUAAACACUGUGCGAGAAUGAAGGUAUUCAGAGGAUUAGUGUCCACAUGAGUUGGAGACAAAGAAUGAGGGUGUUUUUUUCUAGUGUUUUGUGGAUGAAAUAAUCGCAUAAGGCUUUAAAAGAUCCGUACUGACAAGACAAGAGUGGAACCUAAUCAUCUAAGGUAAUCUCAUGGCACCUUUGAAGUAGAAAUCUGCAUAAAAUUGGCAGCAAAUUUCCCUGAGAAGAGAGCUCGCCACCUCUUGUGUAGUCUCUGCCGGCGCUUUGUUGCUGUGCCGCGCAUGCUAGACGAGAGGCAACAGUCACGGAAUCGCCUUAAUCUUCCCAACAGUACAGGUGCCACUGGUAUAGAGUUCAUAUCAACCCGAAGUUUCUGUCUGAAAAGGCCGCCGGGCUCUGAGUUGACCGAAAUGACUUGCAAGGCGAAACGGAGGCUGUGCUGGCUGGUCGUCCUGGCCUUGUCACUCCUGUGGUGCUUCAAAAUGACACUUUAUUCAGGAUAUGCAAGUUAUCACAAAGGAAUGAUUAUCUCUGUAAGAGAACGCGAGCAGGAACAGGACGCCCUCAAGCAGCGACAAAGGCCUUUCACGACCUUGCCUUCUGUCCGCCGCAACCAAACAGACUUUAGUCCUGAAGUUCAUCUGGUGAGGCAAGCGUCCUCAGCCGCAGAUCAGCCAGAGCACAAACAGGUCAGCCCUGCGGAGGACGCCUGGAAGCUAGAGCAAGACAGAAGGAAGGCGGCAGUCAUGAGGGGGUGCGCCGGAUGGAGGGAAGCCGUGUCAGACUACACGCCUUCCUCUUGGCAGGAGAUGACGUCCCUCCUGGUGGACGACAAGCACAAGGCGAUCUACUGCUACGUGCCGAAGGCUGCCUGUACGAACUGGAAGCGGCUUUGGAUGAUCUGACGGGGUUGACGGAGGCAAAGGAACCGAUGGAAAUCUACAGCGGCGCCCCCCACCAAGUGCAUAACAAAAUGAGACUCGUGACCCAGAAGCUAACUAGAAGUCAAAUUCAAAAGAAGCUGGAGACCUACACCAAGAUGAUCGUCGUGCGCCACCCAUUCGAGCGACUCCUCUCAGCCUAUCUUGAUAAAUUUGUUGUAUCUGGCAACUCCUACUACAUGAAGAAUUUCGCACGCCCGA